GGGGGUUUAGUAUAGUGGCAGUACUACAGAUUCCAAACCUGUUUGUGUGGGUUCGAUUCCUACAACCCCCGCCA
rnacentral:tRNA from 2 species